AGAGUUUGAUCCUGGCUCAGGAUGAACGCUAGCGACAGGCUUAACACAUGCAAGUCGAGGGGCAGCAGGGGAGUAGCAAUACUCCCGCUGGCGACCGGCGCACGGGUGAGUAACACGUAUGCAACCUGCCCUUGUCAGGGGGAUAAGCGGAAGAAAUUCCGUCUAAUACCGCAUAAUGCUGCGGGGAGACAUCUCCCUGCAGCCAAAGAUUUAUCGGACAAGGAUGGGCAUGCGGCGCAUUAGCUGGUUGGCGGGGUAACGGCCCACCAAGGCGACGAUGCGUAGGGGUUCUGAGAGGAAGGUCCCCCACACUGGUACUGAGACACGGACCAGACUCCUACGGGAGGCAGCAGUGAGAAAUAUUGGUCAAUGGCCGGGAGGCUGAACCAGCCAAGUCGCGUGAGGGAAGACGGUCCUAUGGAUUGUAAACCUCUUUUGUCAGGGAGCAAAAACUGCCACGCGUGGCAGGAUGAGAGUACCUGAAGAAAAAGCAUCGGCUAACUCCGUGCCAGCAGCCGCGGUAAUACGGAGGAUGCGAGCGUUAUCCGGAUUUAUUGGGUUUAAAGGGUGCGUAGGCGGACAGUUAAGUCAGCGGUAAAAUUGAGAGGGCUCAACCUCUUCCCGCCGUUGAAACUGAUUGUCUUGAGUGGGCGAGAAGUAUGCGGAAUGCGUGGUGUAGCGGUGAAAUGCAUAGAUAUCACGCAGAACUCCGAUUGCGAAGGCAGCAUACCGGCGCCCAACUGACGCUGAAGCACGAAAGCGUGGGUAUCGAACAGGAUUAGAUACCCUGGUAGUCCACGCAGUAAACGAUGAAUACUAAUUGUUCGGGUCAAAUGAGAUCUGAGUGAUACAGCGAAAGCGUUAAGUAUUCCACCUGGGGAGUACGCCGGCAACGGUGAGACUCAAAGGAAUUGACGGGGGCCCGCACAAGCGGAGGAACAUGUGGUUUAAUUCGAUGAUACGCGAGGAACCUUACCCGGGCUCAAACGACACAGGAAUGAUCUGAGAAAUCAGGCAGUCCUCCGGGACCUGUGUCGAGGUGCUGCAUGGUUGUCGUCAGCUCGUGCCGUGAGGUGUCGGCUUAAGUGCCAUAACGAGCGCAACCCCCAUCGACAGUUGCCAGCAGGUGAAGCUGGGCACUCUGUCGAGACUGCCGGCGCAAGCUGUGAGGAAGGCGGGGAUGACGUCAAAUCAGCACGGCCCUUACGUCCGGGGCGACACACGUGUUACAAUGGCAGGUACAGCGGGAAGCCACCUGGCGACAGGGAGCGGAACCCGAAAGCCUGUCUCAGUUCGGAUUGGAGUCUGCAACUCGACUCCGUGAAGCUGGAUUCGCUAGUAAUCGCGCAUCAGCCACGGCGCGGUGAAUACGUAAGGCGGGCCUUGCACUCACCGCCCGUCA
rnacentral:rRNA from 1 species